AGAGUUUGAUCCUGGCUUAGGAUGAACGCUGGCGGCGUGCUUAACACAUGCAAGUCGAACGAAGUUUAAAGAGCUUGCUUUUAAACUUAGUGGCGGACGGGUGAGUAACGCGUGGGUAACCUGCCUUUCACAGGGGGAUAACAGUUAGAAAUGACUGCUAAUACCGCAUAAGCGCACAGGACGGCAUCGUCUAGUGUGAAAAACUCCGGUGGUGAAAGAUGGACCCGCGUCUGAUUAGCUAGUUGGUGAGGUAACGGCUCACCAAGGCGACGAUCAGUAGCCGGCCUGAGAGGGUGAACGGCCACAUUGGGACUGAGACACGGCCCAAACUCCUACGGGAGGCAGCAGUGGGGAAUAUUGCACAAUGGGGGAAACCCUGAUGCAGCGACGCCGCGUGAGUGAAGAAGUAUUUCGGUAUGUAAAGCUCUAUCAGCAGGGAAGAAAAUGACGGUACCUGACUAAGAAGCCCCGGCUAACUACGUGCCAGCCGCGGC
rnacentral:rRNA from 1 species